UCCACCAUGCAUCAGAAUUUAAUCUCUCCGCUCCUCCAAAUGUUCCAGCAACCUCGCCGAGCAACAAUAAGCGUUUGGGCUCCAGACGUGGGUUGGAUUGUUACGCGCGCCACUGCCAAGGGCAACACGGCGACGCGCUAUCUCGCACGAGCAGUCCCCGUGCCGAGCGACCGCACGUCACCGCUUGUUGUUUACGGUGGUGAUUCGCCGACGUGUCAAACGACCGGAGUGUAGCGCCAACUACUGCGCUGACCUGCGAAUCCAACAAAUCUUUGCAGUUUUGCUUAUCUUUUGGCUCCGACAUGCUAGCACCCGUCGGGGAUGUGAUCGCGGAGAAGCUGUCGUCUUCUUUCCGGACGCUUGAAAGAGGAUUUGAACCUUCACCCGGCCUCACAGAUCGCGCCGUGGGAAGAGGAACAUCAUGUGAGGUGCUUAUAUAAAUUGCCCAAUGUAAACGUAAAUGCUCAAAACAUCUCCUUCAUUGGGAAAAUUAUAUUUUUUGUUCAAAAUUGAA